rnacentral:rRNA from 1 species
AUUGAACGCUGGCGGCAUGCUUUACACAUGCAAGUCGAACGGUAACAGGUCUUCGGACGCUGACGAGUGGCGAACGGGUGAGUAAUACAUCGGAACGUGCCCAGUCGUGGGGGAUAACUACUCAAAAGAGUAGCUAAUACCGCAUACGAUCUGAGGAUGAAAGCGGGGGACCUUCGGGCCUCGCGCGAUUGGAGCGGCCGAUGGCAGAUCAGGUAGUUGGUGGGAUAAAAGCUUACCAAGCCGACGAUCUGUAGCUGGUCUGAGAGGACGACCAGCCACACUGGGACUGAGACACGGCCCAGACUCCUACGGGAGGCAGCAGUGGGGAAGUUUGGACAAUGGGCGAAAGCCUGAUCCAGCAAUGCCGCGUGCAGGAUGAAGGCCUUCGGGUUGUAAACUGCUUUUGUACGGAACGAAAAAGCUUCUCCUAAUACGAGAGGCCCAUGACGGUACCGUAAGAAUAAGCACCGGCUAACUACGUGCCAGCCGCCGCCGUAACAC